rnacentral:rRNA from 1 species
AGUGAACGCUGGCGGUAGGCCUAACACAUGCAAGUCGAACGGCAGCACAGCAGUAGCAAUACUGUGGGUGGCGAGUGGCGGACGGGUGAGGAAUACAUCGGAAUCUACCUUUUCGUGGGGGAUAACGUAGGGAAACUUACGCUAAUACCGCAUAAGACCUUCGGGUGAAAGCCGGGGACCUUCGGGCCUGGCGCGGAUAG